rnacentral:rRNA from 1 species
UGGGGAAUAUUGCACAAUGGGGGAAACCCUGAUGCAGCGACGCCGCGUGAACGAAGAAGGUAUUCGUAUCGUAAAGUUCUGUCCUAUGGGAAGAUAAUGACAGUACCAUAGAAGAACGCUCCGGCUAAAUACGUGCCAGCAGCCGCGGUAAUACGUAUGGAGCGAGCGUUGUCCGGAAUUAUUGGGCGUAAAGGGUACGCAGGCGGUUUAAUAAGUCGAAUGUUAAAGAUCGGGGCUCAACCCCGCAAAGCAUUGGAAACUGAUAAACUUGAGUAGUGGAGAGGAAAGUGGAAUUCCUAGUGUAGUGGUGAAAUACGUAGAUAUUAGGAGGAAUACCAGUAGCGAAGGCGACUUUCUGGACACAAACUGACGCUGAGGUACGAAAGCGUGGGGAGCAAACAGG